CACGUAGGGCGCAAGCGUUGUCCGGAAUCAUUGGGCGUAAAGAGCGUGUAGGCGGCUCGGUAAGUCCGCUGUAAAAGUCCAGGGCUCAACCCUGGAAUGCCGGUGGAAACUGUCGAGCUAGAGUCCGGAAGAGGCGAGUGGAAUUCCUGGUGUAGCGGUGAAAUGCGCAGAUAUCAGGAAGAACACCCGUGGCGAAGGCGGCUCUCUGGGACGGUACUGACGCUGAGACGCGAAAGCGUGGGGAGCGAACAGG
rnacentral:rRNA from 1 species